UUUGCGAAGCCAGGGGGCGGGACUACUUGAUUGACAGUCCGGUCCGGAAUGAUUGACAGGUCCUAUGGAGGAGGAAGCAGAGACUCUGCUCUCCUCGUUUGGAUUAAUUCUGAUAUAAUAACUGUUGGUUUAUUUAUCGGUGGAGCAGCAGAACAUUUCCCACAGACAGUUUUUCUGCCCGUUGGCUUGUUUUAACCAGUUUUCUACCUUCGGCUGAUUCUACCAGCAGACACUGAAAGGACUCUGAUAGUUCGUUCAGCAGACAGGUGCUCUGCUUUGGAGUGUGACGAUGUCGUCGGUGAUGUGGAGAGUGAAGCUUCCGUUUCACCCACAGCAUGCUUUAGGACAGCCAGAGUGAAAGUAGCAGUUCCUCCUUAAGGUCAGAGAUUGCAGCAUCUGAGGGCCUCUUCAAAAGAAGAAGUAGUUGAUGAAGGCGUUCUGGAGCAGGACCAGAAAGACCACGACCAAGCAACCUUGAGAUCUCAGGCAGCGUCUCCCUCAGGUCCCUCUCUAUCUCCCCACACAUCCACCAACCACUGGAACACAUCUGCAAAGUUCUGCUGGACCAGCUCAGCUUCCCCUCAGAAGAAGUGCUGCCACCUGCCAGAUGAAGGAGCCUUUUGAGAGGCAGCUGGCAUCGUGAUUGGACUGUACUUUGGUCUGUUCCAAUCCAGCUUCAGCUCCAGAGACGGCAGGCGGGACGAGUCAACGGAGGCCGGGUGGACGAAGGCAUGAAGCUGAGUACAAUCCAGAAAACAACAGAGGAGGAGUGCAGCAGCCCAGGACCAGAACAACCAGAGUAGCAUGACCAAAGAACUACAGACUCUUCACAACCUGCUCAAACUCUUGGUACAGGACCUCACCACACGGGUCAAGAAGGUUUCCUUCUCAUUUCUACUCUGAAGCUCACCUUCUCCUGCUCAAACUGCUGACAAAUGUUUCUGC